GGGAUAACUAAUCGAAAGAUUAGCUAAUACCGCAUAUUCUCUGAGGAGGAAAGCAGGGGACCUUCGGGCCUUGCGUUAUUCGAGCGGCCGAUAUCUGAUUAGCUAGUUGGUGGGGUAAAGGCCUACCAAGGCGACGAUCAGUAGCGGGUCUGAGAGGAUGAACGGCCACGUUGGGACUGAGACACGGCCCAG
rnacentral:rRNA from 1 species